AUUGAACGCUGGCGGCAGGCCUAACACAUGCAAGUCGAGCGGUAGCACAGGGAGCUUGCUCCUGGGUGACGAGCGGCGGACGGGUGAGUAAUGUCUGGGAAACUGCCUGAUGGAGGGGGAUAACUACUGGAAACGGUAGCUAAUACCGCAUAACGUCGCAAGACCAAAGAGGGGGACCUUCGGGCCUCUUGCCAUCAGAUGUGCCCAGAUGGGAUUAGCUAGUAGGUGGGGUAACGGCUCACCUAGGCGACGAUCCCUAGCUGGUCUGAGAGGAUGACCAGCCACACUGGAACUGAGACACGGUCCAGACUCCUACGGGAGGCAGCAGUGGGGAAUAUUGCACAAUGGGCGCAAGCCUGAUGCAGCCAUGCCGCGUGUAUGAAGAAGGCCUUCGGGUUGUAAAGUACUUUCAGCGGGGAGGAAGGUGUUGAGGUUAAUAACCUCAGCAAUUGACGUUACCCGCAGAAGAAGCACCGGCUAACCCCGUGCCAGCAGCCGCCGCAG
rnacentral:rRNA from 1 species